GGAUAUAGCUCAGCUGGUAGAGUGUGUACCUUGCAUGCACAAGGCCCUGAUUUCAAUUCCCAGCACCA
rnacentral:tRNA from 1 species